rnacentral:rRNA from 1 species
CCUACGGGGGACAGCAGUGAGGAAUAUUGGUCAAUGGGCGCUAGCCUGAACCAGCCAAGUAGCGUGAAGGAUGACUGCCCUCUGGGUUGUAAACUUCUUUUAUAUGGGAAUAAAGUGCAGUAUGUAUACUGCUUUGCAUGUACCUUAUGAAUAAGGAUCGGCUAACUCCGUGCCAGCAGCCGCGGUAAUACGGAGGAUCCGAGCGUUAUCCGGAUUUAUUGGGUUUAAAGGGAGCGUAGGCGGGUUGUUAAGUCAGUUGUGAAAGUUUGGGGCUCAACCGUAGAAUUGCAGUUGAAACUGGCAGCCUUGAGUGCAGUAGAGGUAGGCGGAAUUCGUGGUGUAGCGGUGAAAUGCUUAGAUAUCACGAAGAACUCCGAUUGCGAAGGCAGCCUGCUGGACUGUAACUGACGCUGAUGCUCGAAAGUGUGGGUAUCAAACAGGAUUAGAUACCCGAGUAGUC